rnacentral:rRNA from 1 species
GAUGAACGCUGGCGGCGUGCUUAACACAUGCAAGUCGAACGAAGCUGCUUAAAGGAAGUCUUCGGAUGGAAUUUAGGUAGACUUAGUGGCGGACGGGUGAGUAACGCGUGGAUAACCUGCCUUAUACAGGGGGAUAACGGAGAGAAAUUUCCGCUAACACCGCAUAAGACCACAGCACCGCAUGGUGCAGGGGUAAAAUAUUUAUAGGUAUAAGAUGGAUCCGCGUCCGAUUAGCUAGUUGGUGAGGUAAAGGCCCACCAAGGCGACGAUCGGUAGCCGGCCUGAGAGGGUGAACGGCCACAUUGGGACUGAGACACGGCCCAAACUCCUACGGGAGGCAGCAGUGGGGAAUAUUGGACAAUGGGGGAAACCCUGAUCCGGCGACGCCGCGUGAGUGAAGAAGUAUUUCGGUAUGUAAAGCUCUAUCAGCAGGGAAGAAAAUGACUGUACCUGACUAAGAAGCCCCGGCUAACUACGUGCCAGCAGCCGCGGUAAUACGUAGGGGGCUAGCGUUAUCCGGAUAUACUGGGUGUAAAGGGAGCGCACACUGCCAUGCAAGUCUGAACUGCAAGGCGUGGGCUCAACCCAUGAACUGCUUUGGAAACUGUAUAUCUUCAGUGUCGGAGGGCAAGCGGAAUUCUAUGUACCGCUGUAUGCGCUCAUAUCACCAGGAACCCCCCAGGUUACGUCGAUAUUUUGAU